CGUUUCAGAGGAAACAUUUGCCACAAGUUUUGUUUCCUUUUUUUCCAUGGAGGCAAACCGUGACCUGUGGGAAGAGAUGGUGCAGAGCGAGGCUUCGUUUCUCUCUUCACAUCAGGGCUUUUGAUUAUGGGUGUAGGAAUCCGUCCUCAGAGGAUCAGCACAGAGAGGAGGAAGACUUGCAGGGGUCCCACUGAAAAAGAAGCCAAGUGGUCGAUCUGUUCACACCUCCCCGUGGCAGCCACGGCUCAUCAGAAAUCUGUGAAGGAGAAAAUAGGAAGAAGAACAAACAGAACUCGAAGCCGUAUGAGCUUUAUUUUUAAAAUUCGAGCGAGGAGGCUGGAGGGAGCUGAGCCAUGGGACAGAGAUAUCCAUGUAUCUGGUAGAAAUCCAGCAAGCCUCAUUUAGUGAUCUUAAAUAUCGGAGUGAUGCUGUGCGUGUUAGCAGCUCCUGAGGCGGAUCAGCUGGAGCGAAAGGUGGGGACUCGGGUUUGUAGCGUUGAUCGUGCUGAUGGAUUUGUGCCAGAGAUCAGCCUGGCACAAUAACCGUGAUGCAGAGUAGCAGCAGCAGUGUUGUGCUGAUGGAUCGGUGAUGACUUUUCAUGAUGGGUUAAGCCUGUUCCCCGUACCUUUCUCUUGCAAUGUGGCAGCUUGUUGGGAGUGAUGAACUAAAAGACUUUGCAAAAACGCUGCAGAGGUGGGUAAGAAGCGCAGGGAAGGAUGUGCUUUUUAAAAGGCUUUUUAAAAGUCUGCUUAAAAGCUUGUUUUGUGUUGUGUGAAGGCUCGCAUUGCACAAAGCUGACCAGUUAAAGCUCCAGCACGGAGCAGCGCAGACCUCCGUCAGCAGUUCCUUGCUGUGAAGUGAUGACAGCCCAGGGAUCGAGGGGAGGGACUACAGAAAGACAAGCGAAGCCAAGCCCGUGCCUCUGGGCCAAGCGAGGACAACGCUCCCUAAACCUAGAAAAGGCACCGGGAAUUGGUUAGGGUGGGUUUGGGGGAAUAAAAGGGAGGAACAGGACAUCAGCGUAAGGAAGUCGCGGAGUUGUCUCCCAUUGCUCCUGUGCUGCGGCGCGCAAGGCGCACAGCAGAGCCCCAGGGACUUCCAGGUGGCUCUGCCUGGCGUGGGGGCUCUG